rnacentral:rRNA from 1 species
CGAGCGCACCCUCGCCUUUAGUUGCCGCGCAAGCGGAUCUCUAGAGGGACUGCCGGUGUUAAACCGGAGGAAGGUGGGGAUGACGUCAAGUCCUCAUGGCCUUUAUGACCAGGGCUACACACGUGCUACAAUGGCCGGUACAAAGCGUUGCCAACUCGCGAGAGGGAGCUAAUCGCAUAAAACCGGUCUCAGUUCAGAUUGGAGUCUGCAACUCGACUCCAUGAAGGCGGAAUCGCUAGUAAUCGUGGAUCAGCAUGCCACGGUGAAUACGUUCCCGGGCCUU